GAGGAGCUUCGUUCUAGGUUUUACUCGGAGGAGCUCGCCGAUUGACUAUUGUCGUGAGCUGGCGACACCGCGCCGGCGGUGGUGGAGGUGGCAGGGGGCGGCGCCGGGUGGGGGGAGGAGGAGUUAGGGUUUGGGAUGGGGGAUGGGGGAAAAGACGAUUGGAGGGGGGGAGAUUUCCUUUUUUUUUUCUUUUUUUCCAUAUGUUUUUUUUUUAUUUUAAUUUUUUUAGAUAUUUUUUCCACAUGUCACAAAAGUGCCACCAUGUUAAUUUUCGGCUGCCACCUCAUCAAUUCCGGCUGCUACAGUGGCAUUUCCGACGCCGUCGAAAGAAAAAAACGGUCACCGAAUAAAUUUGAGACAAAAACGAAAGAUUAGG
rnacentral:lncRNA from 1 species